AGGAUGAACGCUGGCGGCAUGCCUAAUACAUGCAAGUCGUGCGGCAGCGAGUCUGGCACAGUUUACUUCUCUAUUCAGGAGUAAAGUGUGCUGGAUGUCGGCGAGCGGCGGACGGCUGCGUAACGCGUAGGAAUCUACCCAAAGUGAGGCAUAAGCCCGGGAAACCGGGUCUAAUACCGCAUGUGGUCCACGGACUAAAGCUUCGGCGCUUUGGGAAGAGCCUGCGUCCGAUUAGCUAGUUGGUGAGGUAAUGGCUCACCAAGGCGAUGGACCGGUAGCUGGUCUGGAGAGGAUGACCAGCCAGACGUGGGACUGACGACGACCGGCCAGACCUCCGUACGGGACGCAGCGAGGUAGGUAACUUUCAACGUAAGU
rnacentral:rRNA from 1 species